UUAUCCAGUAAUUUAGUUGCGUAGUC
rnacentral:piRNA from 1 species